CUGAAGACAGCUACAGUGUACUUACAUAUAAUAAAUAAGUAAAUCCAAUGGCUGCGUACAGCAGCCUCCUGGGUAGUGUAUGCUGCCUAUUUCUUAUAUAAGUUGCUCUAAGGGACCCAGGAGACAAAA